AUUUACAAUUAAUAGGAGUAGACGGGGGUGGCAUUCGUGUUCCGACGCUGAAAUUCUUGGACCGUCAGAAGACGACCCACUGCGAAAGCAUUUGCCAAGAAUGCUUCCCUUAACCAAGAACAAAAGUCAGAGGCUCAAACAAGAUUCGAUACUUUUGUAAUUCUGACACUAAACGAUACCCGCCAGUGAUCCGGCUGCGUACGAACGUGACGCGCCGGGCAGGUUGCCCGGGAAACCUGAGUACAGGCUCCGGGGGAAGAAUGGUUGCAAAGCUGAAACUUAAAGGAAUUGACGGAGGGCCACUACCAGGAGUAGAGCCUAUGGCUUAAUUUGAUUGAACACGGGAAAACUUACCCGGCCCGGACACCUAACAGAUGGACCGAUUGAUAGCUCUUUGUAGAGGUUGUGGAUGGUGGUUCAUGACUGCAGUUGGAUCAUGGGGUCCCCUGUCUCGUUAAUUCCGAUAAACGAACAAGAUUCUUGCUUAUUAAAUACGGAUCAUUCCUACGAAUGGGAAUGGAGGCUUCUUAGAAGGACCAUCGGCUUCAAAGCCGUACGAAAAGGAGCGAUUGCAGGUCUGUGAUGCCCUUAGAUGUCCGGGGUCGCAAGUGCGCUACAGUAGAG